AAAACCUUAAGUUAUAUAUAAACUAGCAUCCUUCCACGUUGCAAUUAAGGCUACUUAGGUUUUA
rnacentral:tRNA from 1 species